rnacentral:rRNA from 1 species
ACGACCGUACCGCAAACCGACACUGGUGCGCGAGAUGAGUAUUCUAAGGCGCUUGAGAGAACUCAGGAGAAGGAACUCGGCAAAUUGACACCGUAACUUCGGAAGAAGGUGUGCCUUUAGUAGGUGAACCUGUACAAGGGGAGCCCAAUGAGGUUGCAAAAAAUCGGUGGCUGCGACUGUUUAAUAAAAACACAGCACUCUGCAAACACGAAAGUGGACGUAUAGGGUGUGACGCCUGCCCGGUGCUGGAAGAUUAAAUGAUGGGGUGCAAGCUCUUGAUUGAAGUCCCAGUAAACGGCGGCCGUAACUAUAACGGUCCUAAGGUAGCGAAAUUCCUUGUCGGGUAAGUUCCGACCUGCACGAAAGGCGUAACGAUGGCCACACUGUCUCCUCCUGAGACUCAGCGAAGUUGAAAUGUUUGUGAUGAUGCAAUCUCCCCGCGGAAAGACGGAAAGACCCCAUGAACCUUUACUGUAGCUUUGUAUUGGACUUUGAACAGAUCUGUGUAGGAUAGGUGGGAGGCUUUGAAGUGUGGUCGCUAGACCGCAUGGAGCCAACGUUGAAAUACCACCCUGGUGUGUUUGAGGUUCUAACCUAGGCCCGUAAUCCGGGUCGGGGACAGUGCAUGGUAGGCAGUCUGACUGGGGCGGUCUCCUCCCAAAGCGUAACGGAGGAGUUCGAAGGUACGCUAGGUACGGUCGGACAUCGUGCUAAUAGUGCAAUGGCAUAAGCGUGCUUAACUGCGAGACUGACAAGUCGAGCAGAUGCGAAAGCAGGACAUAGUGAUCCGGUGGUUCUGUAUGGAAGGGCCAUCGCUCAACGGAUAAAAGGUACUCUGGGGAUAACAGGCUGAUACCGCCCAAGAGUUCAUAUCGACGGCGGUGUUUGGCACCUCGAUGUCGGCUCAUCUCAUCCUGGGGCUGUAGCCGGUCCCAAGGGUAUGGCUGUUCGCCAUUUAAAGAGGUACGUGAGCUGGGUUUAAAACGUCGUGAGACAGUUUGGUCCCUAUCUUCCGUGGGCGCUGCAGAUUUGAGGAAGCCUGCUCCUAGUACGAGAGGACCGGAGUGGACUCACCUCUGGUGUAUCGGUUGUCACGCCAGUGGCAUUGCCGAGUAGCUAUGUGUGGAAGAGAUAACCGCUGAAAGCAUCUAAGCGGGAAACUCGUUUCAAGAUGAGAUCUGCCGGGGCCUUGAGCCCCCUAAAGAGUCGUUCAAGACCAGGACGUUGAUAGGUCGGGUGUGGAAGCGCAGUAAUGCGUUAAGCUAACCGAUACUAAUUGCUCGUGCGGCUUGACC